rnacentral:rRNA from 1 species
AUUGAACGCUGGCGGCAUGCCUAACACAUGCAAGUCGAACGGUAACACCCCGCAAGGUGGCGCCGAGUGGCGUACGGUGUAGUAAUGCUUCGUAACGUUCCCAAUCCUUCUUCUUAACUGGUCAUAAUAUUGGCUAAUUUCCCCUACCAUCUCAUUCUUCCCCCUGGGGACCGCACGGGUUCGCUCGACUUUGUGCGACGGUAUCAGCCUAGGUAGUUGGAGGUGUAUAGCUGGACCAAGGCCACGAUCUGUAACUGGUCUGAGAGGACAAACAGCCACACUGGAACUGAGAAAGGGCCCAGACUCCUACGGGAGGCAGCAGUGGGGAAUAUUGGACAAUGGGCGAAAGCCUGAUCCAGCAAUGCCGCGGGAAGGAAGAAGGCCUUAGGGUUGUAAAGUGCUUUUGUACGGAAAGAAAAGAAGCUGGUUAAUACCCGGUGAUAAUGACGGUACCGGAAGAAUAAGCACCGGCUAACUACGUG